rnacentral:rRNA from 1 species
UACGGGGGGAGCAAGCGUUGUUCGGAUUUACUGGGCGUAAAGGGCGCGUAGGCGGCCAGCGCAAGUCAGUUGUGAAAUCUCCGGGCUUAACUCGGAACGGUCAACUGAUACUGCGCGGCUAGAGUGCAGAAGGGGCAACUGGAAUUUCCGGUGGAGCGGUGAAAUGCGUAGAGAUCGGAAAGAACACCAACGGCGAAAGCACUCUGCUGGGCCGACACUGACACUGAGAGACGAAAGCUAGGGGAGCGAAUGGG